AGACUGAACGCUGGCGGCAUGCCUAACACAUGCAAGUCGAACGGGAGUAGCAAUACUCUAGUGGCGGACGGGUGAGGAAUACGUAGGAAUUUGCCCUUAAGUGGGGGAUAACCCGGGGAAACCCGGAUUAAUACCGCAUGACCUCGAAAGAGCAAAGUGGGGGAUCGCAAGACCUCACGCUUUUGGAGAAGCCUACGUCGGAUUAGCUAGUUGGUGAGGUAAUGGCUCACCAAGGCGACGAUCCGUAACUGGUCUGAGAGGAUGAUCAGUCACACCGGAACUGAGACACGGUCCGGACUCCUACGGGAGGCAGCAGUGGGGAAUAUUGGACAAUGGGCGCAAGCCUGAUCCAGCAAUGCCGCGUGUGUGAAGAAGGCCUUACGGGUUGUAAAGUCGAACUUUAAGUUAGGGAAAGAAAAAAACGUACGACUACGUAACACAGUAGAAGUCUUGACGGUACCGACAGAAUAAGCAACCGGCUAACUCUAGUGCCAGACAACGCCGAC
rnacentral:rRNA from 1 species